rnacentral:rRNA from 1 species
UACGUAGGGGGCUAGCGUUGUCCGGAAUUACUGGGCGUAAAGAGCUCGUAGGUGGUUUGUCGCGUUGUUCGUGAAAACUCACAACUCAAUUGUGGGCGUGCGGGCGAUACGGGCAGACUGGAGUACUGCAGGGGAGACUGGAAUUCCUGGUGUAGCGGUGGAAUGCGCAGGAUAUCAGGAGGAACACCGGUGGCGAAGGCGCCGCUCUGGGCCGAGACUGACGCUGAGGAGCGAAGCGUGGGUAGCAAACAGG